UUUUGUAUCAAAAAUAUCCAUUUUAUUGAACAAAAAUAUCGAUUUCAUUGAACUUGUGACACGAGGCCGCGGGAUCCAUCCGAGCGGGGGCACAUCUGGGGAGGGAGCAGCAUAACAGGGGUGUCAGGCCGGGCUGUGGGGACACAAAAAGGGGGGGGGGAGGUCAGGGGGGGUGCUCAGGGGGUGGGGGAGGGGCUGCAUCCCUUUACCCCCUCCCCCAGAGUCAGUGGUUGCUUCUCAGCAGCGGGUUCAGCCGAACGAGAUUCAAUUGGGGUCAUCACAAAGUGGGGGGGGACACCCCAAAACCAACCCUCCCCCUCCACCCCCACCCCGGCCCCCUCAGACCGUCCAUCGGGACGCAGCAUCCUCCUCCCCUCCCCCCGCCAGCACCAGUGGGUUCGACCUUGGGCAGGUCCUGGUGGCCGGGGGGGGGUCAGACGCGGAGGGGUUUCCUCAUCGGGGGCCGGCGGCCUCACAUUCAGCCCCACUGGCCAUCGUGGGGGUCACUCUCGGGGUUGCGUCACCCCCCGCCCCCCUGCAAAAACGAGGCUUAAUUAGGGCUGGCUCCCCGCGGCUGCGCGGACAAAAUG
rnacentral:lncRNA from 1 species